AAACAGCCUCUCUCUCUCUCUCUCUCUCUCUCUCUCUCUCUCUCUCUCUUGUCUUUCUCUCUCUACCCAUCUUUGCUUUUUUCAGCACCUUCUCAUCAUCAAUCUCUCAUGCCAAAAUCCCACUCUCUCUCUAGAAAUAAAAACUGAUCCAAGACUCUGUGCCUUUCUCUCUCCUCCCAUUUGUAUCCAUAUCCUAUUCCUGUAUACUACUCGGCAGAGAAAGAAAGAAGAAACAUAGAACUCCACGCACCCUCCCUCCCACAAUCAAAAAACAAAGAGUCCACACCACCCAACUCUCUCUCUCUCUCUAAUGGCCCAGCUGGACCAAAAUUUAUGUAGAAGAAAUACAAAAAAGAAUACAAAGGCAGAGAAAGGAAGACAGAGGGGCUUUUUAGAGAGAGAGAGUGAGAGAAUGAGGGAGAUGUCUUCAAAUGUCCUCCAAAUUAACCAAAACCCACCUCACACACAACACCAAAAAAGCAGAUAAUUGCUUCCACAAAUGCCCUUCUGCAACCCCCCAAAAAAUCCCCAUCUUCAUCAUCAACUUCACUGUCUUUCCAAACAACUAUGUUUUUAUUGUUGCCCCGAAUUAUGUGGGCUUUUUCGGCCUUUGCCUUGGUCAGAAUUUUUUUUCACAGAGAAAACAGGAAAGCAAAGAAAGAACCUUGCCACCUCCCCCCCACCCCUCUCUCUAUCUCUAUUUUCUCUCUCAUCUUCUGUCCUAUCUGUCUCUCUACUAUCUCAUUUCUUUCUCUACAUACACAAACCCCCCUUUCUUUAUUGCUUGUCCACCUUUCAAUUCAUCCCUAUCACAUAUACCCAUUUUCUUGUUUUCCCCUAUCUGUGCUCCACAGCUAGCUCCCUUUAUCUAUUCUCAAUCGUUUGAUCAUCUUCAAAAUCACAACUUUUUUUGUGAAAGGGGCUUCUCUUCUUUUCUGAUCUGAUGUCCAAGAAGAGUAAAGGGGCGGUUUUGGAUUCAACACCACCUUAUGGUGUUGGUGUGUAUGAGGAUGCUAAGGCCCGGCUGAAGCAUCAGACUCUUGUGCAGGACUAUGAGGAGUUGCAGAAGGAAACCGACGUCAUGAAAAGUAAGUUGGAGGCAGCUAAACAGAGAAAGCUGAUUCUUGCUGCUGAAGUUCGAUUUCUGCGCCGAAGAUAUAAGCACCUUGUGAAAACAAAGAAUACCAAUUCGUCACAAGAACAAAAUCUUGCAAACGCACCAAGUUCGCUUAAGAAAGCUAAAGAAAUGAAGGAACAGCUUUUCACUCGGAAAGAAUCGAGUCAGCACAGAUUACCACUGCUUCCAGAACCAUACCCCAAGAAGAAACAUCAUAUUGGUAAACAAGGUGCUAUGCGAUCCACAAUAACUGAUCAGGCUUGGAAGAAAAUUUUACAUGGUGGUGAAGAAAUUAUCAAACACAGUUUGACUCCAGUAUCUGGUUUGAACCACCACAAGGGAAGAAUGCGUAUCAGGAAAGAAACUUUGGCCCCUAAUAUGAUCCAAAUUCUUGACAAAGACCAGAAAGAAAGGAUGCAUGGCGCAAAUGAUGCAACUUCAAGGAAUUCCAUUGCAGCUUUUGAUUUGAACCAGGAUAGUAGUCCUAGCAUGAAAGAUGCUUUCGUGCCAAGCCGAGCUCCGAUAUUCGAUUUAAAUGAAAUCUCGACAGGGGAUGAGGAUUUUCAGAGCAAUUUCGAAGCAAUGAAGUUUGAGGAAGCGAAGAAAAGUUUGAUCAGAGGUAUAAAUGACGAGCAGCAAACAGAUUUGAAGUUGUCCAUUUGUCGAAAUGCUGGGGAAGGUACAUCUCGUGUGGGGAAGCGGAAAAUUUCAUGGCAGGACCCUGUUGCGCUGAGAGUUUGAAACUCUGCUUGUCAACUGAAGAACAGCAAGCAUUUAGGCAAUCAAAGAACUUCACAAGCGCCUCUCGUGCUUCUGUUGGCCUUAAGUCUGUAGGUGGGUUGGUGGUUUUCAAGCUCGUCAUAGCAAAACAUACCAACCCUCACGCCAAGAUAGUAAGAAUUGCUUAUCAUGCAACACGAUAUGCAGACAGAAGCAACAUCCCUGUUGUAGAAGGUGAACAGGCUUCUUGUUAUGGAAGUGACUUGUGUUUUCUGUAACAGGAAAGGAAUGACAGACGAAUAUUGUUAGAAGUUUCAGUUUCUUCCAUUUCCUUAUUGAGUCUUGAUGAUGUUUUGAGUGAAGGAUGUCCAACUUCAUUUGGAAGAAACAAGGCUUUCUCACAAGAUAGGAAUUAGGACAUUAUAUAGCUAGAAAUAGACCUUGGGGCAAAGCACAAGCAUCCAAAGAUUCUAUACAAGCAUUCACUGCAACAGAUUUGAUAUUU